rnacentral:lncRNA from 1 species
GCUGGGUCGAAAAUAGGGGGUUGAAGAGAGAUUUCUAACAAAUCAGAAAUCCUUGCAUUAUCAAAAAUUGCCUUAGUAGGACCAUGGUCCACAAGGCGAGCAUGCCAUCUACGGAAAACAACAUUAGAUUUAGGUCAAGUGCGAAUACCUCUUUCGCGAAGGGGCCCCAGCGGCAAAGAAUUUAGAAACGGAGGGCCUUGAGUACAAGUGAACAGCUGACCGACCACCGCUUGUUCGAUGGCCUCUGCAUUGUUAAAUAAAGGACCUAGAUAGAACUCAUUGAGUUCAACAUUGGCCGGUACAAGGAAGUUCGGAGUUAUAUAUGGCCGAGUAAGGAGUUUCUGAAAGUCUUCGAAACUAAAGGAGUCACCAGACUGGGAUUGUGAAGCAGUCAUUAGGGACGAAAUAGAGUUUUUCAGAGUUACGUAGCAGAGAAGCAAGGAGAUGAACAAUAAUAUUGUAAGAGAGAAGCGCGAAAAAAUGAUGCAUGAUUUAGUGGUGCAAUGAAAUGGCGUAUUUGGGGGUUAUAAGGGUUUGCAAACGUCGCACCUUUUCAGGCUAUGGAAGAAAACAAUAAUUGAAAUUCUUGGGAGUUUCGAAUAUUGCUGGGAAACACAAAG